rnacentral:lncRNA from 1 species
UAACAAACCAAAGAAAAAUGAACGAUCAUAAUUUAUAUUAUAUAACGUCAACCCUCUCAACAUUAACAGAUGCAGCAAUCUAAGGCGAUUAUCUUUAACAUUUACAAAAUAGAAUCUUAAACAUCCAAGACUUUUCAACUCUCUCGGAAAAUAGAUAAUAUACAAAAUCCCGUCUACACUCCAAUCACAAUGCUUCCCAUGAAAACUUCAUAAACUGCAACACCAGCGUGGGCUUCAACGUUUGAUAACAACUGCAUCACAAUCACAACAUGACGAAUCAAAAUGAGGUUCCUCUAAGAACCGAAUAUUGAGAUAACAUCAUUUUUGCAAUUGUAGAGGCAAGUCAAAGCAACCACAUCAACGGUCCCAUACCUGAUCUAAGCAACUCUAUGGUAAACAGAAAAGGUACAUCAGUGAUUUCAUUGAACACUAACUUUAACCUAAGACCAAGGACGAGGAACAACAAUCCAGCAAUAUACCACAAUCAUCCUCUUCACCUGCAGUUUGUUCAUAUACUACCUGACUAAACUAAUAACACUACACAAAAAGACCUCAAAGUUGAAACCUCACAUGAACAGCUGACAACAGGCAAUCAGUAGCAUCCUUUGGUAUCAUUGUACACUGUAUAACCACAUGGGACCCUUCAGCAUCAAAGAAGUUCAUACUUAACAAUCUUAUAAGGCCAUGACCCCACGAGAGUUUGGUCAAAUCUCCGGGUAAGUGUUAGGCAAGGCAAAUAACAACCGCAAACGUGAAGAAAGUAACAGGGAUAUAAACCUGAAACGGAAUACACUUCAGUAACCUUUUAACUUCACCCCACGAGAGUUUGGUCAAAUCUCUGGGUAAGUGUUACCUUGCAUCAAGUAAUACAUGAACCGAUGAAAGGGAAGGCAACUAAGCACCUCAAAAAUGAAGUAACAAGAAUAUAAACUAAAACGGGAUAGACACUUCAAUAACCUUUUAACUUCCCCCUACGUAGAAGAUUGUAAGCCUCUCAGAGUUGUCUUCCUACACAAAAUGUUUAAAUGUUGUGCAUUUCAACCAAUGAGACACAAAGCUUAUAUAAUCAAGUAUUUAUCGUCCCAGUAAAUCUGUAAGCAAAACUCACUUGUCUAGUCUCUUCCUGCAAACAUAACACUCGCUUGUCCCUUCUUUAAAAUUCUGCCUCGUACAGGAAAACACAUCUUUCUUUUUGGAAUAAAAAUCACCUUCAGUGAACUCAAAAAGACUUUCCCAUGAAAACUUCACAAACUGCAACCCUAACAUAGGCUUCAAUGUGUGACGGAGCAUAUUAAGGUUCACGAGAUGAUUAGUUGAGGAAACAUCACUUCCCCAAUCGUAAGAUCUCAACAAAAGUAACUAGAAUGGAGAUUUUUCGUGUUAGCCAGAGAGUUUUUCCCUGCAAGCCAAUAUGUCCAAGGACUACGAUUUGGAGGUAACAAUCCUACAACAUAUUUAAUCAAUCUCCACCAGAAGUAAGCAUAUUAAGCCUCACCUGAAAGCAAACAACACAUGUGUCCCCCACAAAAAUCAAUUGAGGACUUCAUUAUCAAAUGUUUCAGAACCAUUAAAACCAGCCAGGAAGAAAGAAACCUCAGAAGUCAGAAAUAAAGACGAAUAUCAUCAAAACCAAUGUGCCUGCUAUGAGCCAGCCCCCAUGAGGUCACACAACCAGCAAGAAUCACUUAAAUAAAUACCUAACUGAAGAGAAUAUGAGCAUACACCAUGACCAUUACUAACAAUCAGUGUGGACCUACAAAAUAACUCGAUGUGGCAGACUAGCAGUUUUAUGACCACCAAAAUACGAUGUAUAAAUGUUGAGGUAUAUGAUGAAACCUAUAAUCUUCAAAAGCUUCAGACAUUAACCAGAUAUUGCUGAAAAACUGAGAAUCAUCAUCAAAAGGCCAGAAGACUAAAUCUUAAAAUCAAUAGAACAAGUAUAAACUCUGAGCGUCCACACCUUCAGAUAUGUCAGCCUACAGAGUUUUUCAACCAUCCUGUCCAGGUAAAUCCCAGAGCAUGAAACAGAAGAGUCACCAAAACAAAAAGUUUUUAUGCAUAACUGACGAGCGAACUCAAAGAACCUUCAAUGUUACCUUCUCUUGCUGGAGAACAGACCAACCCAUAAGUAAAAUAUACUGGAUCCUCAAAAUCUGUAGCACAGUUCCGCUCAGAGAGAAGCAGAAGACAACAAAAUUAAUAGCAUCAACUCUCAGGAAAUAAAUAGCCUCGUCAAAGCAGAAACAAAGAAGAAAAGAUGGAACCCUUCAAUUGGAGGUUGGAGCUUACUUUUCUUUAAUACCCAGUAAACUAUAACAGUCAGAAGUAAUUCAAAAAUCAACAAAGACGCAAUAAUCAAAAGCCAAAGAAACCUAAGAAUCAAACCUCAGAAGAAAAGUAGCUCAUAACACCUGACCUGGAUCUACCAGAUAUGGAAGAUCCAAAUUUGUCCCUACUGAGAGAUAACUAGGCAAAUUCAUGAUGUACAGUUACAGGGAGUGUAGUCGAGCAGACCAAAACCUUUGCAAAAUCAAACUCCAAUGCAAUGAUAAGUUUCAUCCAGUAGUAGCAAUUAGCAUCUAUAUAGAAAAGAUGCAGCAGACAGGAACUGAUCACAUCUCCACCAAAUAUAAUAGUAACCAAAACAAAAAAAAAGGCACACCACGGGUUAAGAAAAUACUGCAAAUUCAAACUUCGAUGCCCAAAAAAACCAAUAAGAGAUCCUGGCUCCUUCACAUCCUCAACAUACCAAAAAAUCAAAAGAAUCUCCCCCCUAUCACAGUCCAGAGCUCAGGAAGUGCAACAGACUUCAAAAUCCAGGAUGUACGAAACAACAGAUUGCAGAAAAUCCAAAAAAGAGGAACAAGAAAACCUGAGUAACAACAUGUCUAGCUUUCUGCAUAAGAGGCACUCAGACUUGAAGCUGUUCAAUACAAAAAAAUAAUUUAGUAGACACAUCUAUGAUGAAAAGGACAGGAAAAACAUUAGAGUUAGCAAUCAUCAGAUACAUAAAAGCAUUGAAUACAAAAACUAGGUAAAAGGACAAGACAUAGGAACAAACUCGUUUGGGAGGGAUCUAUGAUCAUCUUUAGUCUGAGUGUGUGAGGUGAAUUGUGAAGAAAUUCUGGGAAACAGAGACACAGGAAAAAUCAUACCUCACCAACAAUACAACAGCCAACUUUUAAGUAAAAAAUGAAUGGGUAAAAAGGUAUGUAGAUGCAAAGUAACCAGAGACACGAUAUAGGCAAACCAUCUUUCCCUCUCAUUAUGCUUGAACCUUUCUCCAAAAUUAGAAAAGAAAACAUCAAGUAAUAGGGAAAUAAGAAACCAAAAAAAUAAAACAAAAGGAGAUAAGAAACCGCCAGAGAGGUAACAUGAAGCACAAGAUCAAACACAUCUUUAAGCUCAAAAUAUAUACCUAUAAACAAAAGAAGAAUUUCACAUCAGAAAAAAAAACCACGCCACAAGAAUAUGAGAGUAUGAUAAGACUCUAAACAUAGAUGUAGCAUAAAAGAUAAGACCAACAGAAAGAAAGGGGAAAGAAACCAGUUAGUAGCCGGACGUUUCUCUCUUUUAGAACCUCACAACCUAUAACAAAAGAUCAUAAAACAUAGAUGCUAACAUCACUAGCAAGAUCAGCAGACAUUACUAUUAACCUGAAACAUCCAAUAACAAAGUAUAUGGAAACAAUCAUAUUGCUGAAAGAAUGCACAAGGAAAAGAAAACGAAAAACCUGAACACACAUGACCAGCCUUCUGCAUCAGAGAUCUCAGACUUAGCAGAUCUAAUAGACAUAAGACAUUCAAUACAAAAUAAACUUUAAAAAGAAAAGUAUAAGAACAAACUCCUCUCAUAUGAAUGUGUGGAGACACAGCAGAGACUCUUAGAGAAGUGACUGAUGUUGAAAAUCUGGAAAACACAGAGUAGAGCACCGAUCAAACCUAACCAACUAUAGCCAACAUUGAAUAAAUCAACCAAUAGCAAAAAGUGUAUAUAUGCGAAGUAACCAGAAACUCGUUUGGGAGGACUGUAUGAUCAUCUUUAGUCUGAUUGUGUAAACGGAAACAGAAUGAAGUGGUUUGUGAAGAAAAUCUGGGACACAGACACAGGAAAAAUCAUACCUCACCAGCAAUAUCAAUCUUAAAUUAAACAAUCUAUAGAUAAAAAGUUGUAUAGAUGUGAAGGAACCAGAAACCAAUAUAAUAUGCAACCCUUCCUUUUCUCCCGCAAUGCCUUGAACUUCUACAAUCUAAAUAGAAACUUCUCCAAAAAUUAAAAAAGAAAAACAUCAGGUAAUAUGGAAAUAAGAAACCCUAAAAAUAAGACAAUGGGAGAUAAGAAAACCGCCAGAGAGGUAGCAGGGAACCAUUAGAUAAAAAUCUUUCAAACUCGAUAUAUAUACCUACAAAGAAGGGGACCAUUUGACAUAAAAAACCCACCGUCAAAAGCAUAUGAAGAGAGUAUGAUCAAAUACUAAAAAUAGAUGUAACAUGAGAGAUAACAUACUACCAACAUAAAUAAAGGGGAAAAAAACAUAGUAACCUGACGCUUCUCUUUUUAGAACUCACUGCCUUAAAUAGAAGACAAAGACUUGUAAGCAUAAAAUAUAAGUGCUAACAUCGCUAAGAAGAUCUGUUAACCUGAAACAUCCAAUAACAACUCUGUGGAGACAACAGAUUGCUGAAAGAUACCCAAACGAAUAACAUUCAAUACAGAAACUACUUGCAAAGGAAAAAUAAAAAGAGUAAAUGAACAAACUCAUUAGGAAGGUAAUUCAAGGUCAUCUUUCAUAUGGAUAUGUGAAGACAGCAGAGAAACAGAGAGAAGAGACUGAUGUAGAAAUCUGGAAACACACAAUAAGACACACAGGACAGAUCAUAAUCAACCAACAACAAAAGCCUAAAAUAAUAUAAAACAACCAAUAACAAAAAGGUGAAUAGAUGUGAGUUAACCAGAAACACGAAAUCAUACUCAACCAAGCCUUCUCUCCCACAAUGCCUUCAACUUCUUAGAUCUAAACCAAAGAUUUCACCCAAAAAAAUUAGAAGGAAAACCACACGUAAUAUAGGACUCUAAAAAGGAAACAAAGGGGAAUAAGAAAACAGCCAAAGAUGUAACAUCAGGGAGCGACGACAGAUCAAAUAUAUCCUUCAAGAUAAACUGAGACGGAAUAGAACAGAGGUAAUCGUGAUUGUAACAAGGAAAGUAAAAAAUAUGUAACACGAGAAAUCAGAAGAAACCAACAGAUAGGGGAGAAGAAAUCUACAACACAGCAAUCCCAUUGCCUCCACGAUCUGCGUCAAACAGAGAGAUAUCGCUUAUGUAGAAAAAGCCAAAAAAAACAAAAAGUAUUGGGAAAGAGGAGAAAAAUCAAACAGAUAUAACGAUCAAUCAAACCAUCACCGGUCGAUCUUAGUAUCUUCCACAAUCACCAAUCAAUCAUAGUACCCUCCUAAAUCAAAAAUAGAACGAGGAGUAAAUAUAACAUAAAUUGAAAAAGGUAAAAAUUCAGAAGCUAGAUCGAGGAUCGGAUCAAAAAAUCGAUUUAAGACGUAGCCUAGAGAAACCAGGUGACAAAGAUCCAAAAAAACCAAUCACCGAUCAUAGCAUCAUCCAAGAUCUACAACAACAUGACGACAAGGAAACAAAAAGUGGUGAAAAUACAGAAUCGAAAGAGAUGAUCGGAUCAUAAUUGGCAUCCAAAACAUCUGCGAGACGAAGAGACGUAAGUAAGAAAACGAAAAUCAGAGGAAGAGCACCCCCUGAAGACGUAGCGCAGAGACGCAACAGAGAAACAACAAAUCCACCAAAGCCAUCACCAAGAGAUCAAAGCAUCGAUCCAUCACCAAGAGUAAACCACAUGAACANNN